CCUACGGGAGGCAGCAGUGAGGAAUAUUGGUCAAUGGACGAGAGUCUGAACCAGCCAAGUAGCGUGAAGGAUGACUGCCCUAUGGGUUGUAAACUUCUUUUGUCAGGGAACAAAGUCGGAGACGCGUCACCGGAUGAGUGUACCCGAAGAAAAAGCAUCGGCUAACUCCGUGCCAGCAGCCGCGGUAAUACGGAGGAUGCGAGCGUUAUCCGGAUUUAUUGGGUUUAAAGGGUGCGCGGGCGGGAUGUUAAGUCAGCGGUCAAAUGUUGGGGCUCAACCCCGGCCGGCCGUUGAAACUGGUUUUCUAGAGUUGGAGAGAAGUAGGCGGAAUUCGUGGUGUAGCGGUGAAAUGCAUAGAUAUCACGAAGAACUCCGAUUGCGAAGGCAGCAUACCGGCUCCAUACUGACGCUGAGGCACGAAAGCGUGGGGAUCGAACAGGAUUAGAUACCCUUGUAGUC
rnacentral:rRNA from 1 species